rnacentral:rRNA from 1 species
AUUGAACGCUGGCGGCAGGCCUAACACAUGCAAGUCGAACGAGUGGCGGACGGGUGAGUAAUGUCUGGGAAACUGCCUGAUGGUGGGGGUUAACUACUGGAACCGGUAGCUAAUACCGCAUACCAUCAGAUGUGCCCAGAUGGGAUUAGCUAGUUGGUGGGGUAGCGGUUCACCAAGGCGACGAUCCCUAGCUGGUCUGAGAGGAUGACCGGCGAAACGGCAACAUGGACACGGUCCAGACGCCUACGGUAGGAAGCAGUGGGGAAUAUUGCACAAUGGGCGCAAGCCUGAUGCAGCGAUGCCGCGUGUAUGAAGAAGGCCUUCGGGUUGUAAGGUACUUUCAGCGGGGAGGCGUUACCCGCAGAAGAAGCACCGGCUAACUCCGUGCCAGCAGCCGCGGUAAUUC